AGGGGAAGCUGGGCGGGAGUUAAUCAACGCGCUCUGGGCGCCAUCAUAGGGUGGUGGUCGGGAAGCGGUGGGGGAUACAUCGUCAUUACAAACAUUUCGGUGAUACAUGUAAAUUGUUUGCCCCUCAAAGUCUAACUCUUCCUCUGUCCAACCCUCCUGUUUAAGACCUCUAGCGACCCGGUACCAAGCCUCUACGGCUUUCGUUAACCCGUUAUCCAG